UGUUACUCACUUGCCAUGCAGCCCGGAAACCAUACAGCACCCCAAGUCUGUCUACAAUUUGGCUCAUUUUCCUUUUUGAUUGUGUCUGGGAGUUCUCCUGUGCUUGUUUGGAUCAACCCGGCGAAGAGAGUGGGUAGAUACUGAAAAAUAACUGCUAGGCUUGUCCUACCUUCCUUCCACUCUAAACCACAUAGUGAUCUCCAGUCGACAAACUGAGGCAUGAAGGCUUAGUUGCUCUUGUCAUUCUUUUUUUCUUCUUCUGUAUCGCUGGGCAGGUACACUUUCAGGGAAUGGCCAAUACCCUGGCAUUUGAACGCAAAGCACAACAGGAGGCGAUUCUACUAUCUGAAAAAUGUUGAGCAUUUUAACAGGCUUCGUCUUGAAAAAUAUUUGCGGGAAGAAGGCAAAAAGAGAGACAGAGAAAGAAACCGACAGAGGAAGCUAUUGAAAAGAUGCCCUCACCUUGCCAAAAAGUCUCAGAGUUAAAAGUCGAAAUUGUUCCGUAUUUGGUAGAUGGCAGGCAUGACAAACACAGUCACACUGAGCUAAGGAGUGAUACAUGCAAUGAGAACUAUCAUGUGAUUUUUUUUUUUAAAAGCCCUCGGCGUUUUCUUACCAAAAUAAAGCUGCUCUGUAUACCUGUCA